rnacentral:rRNA from 1 species
AUCCCUUGACAUCCUGCGAACUUUCUAGAGAUAGAUUGGUGCCUUCGGGAACGCAGUGACAGGUGCUGCAUGGCUGUCGUCAGCUCGUGUCGUGAGAUGUUGGGUUAAGUCCCGCAACGAGCGCAACCCUUAUCAUUAGUUGCUAACAUUUAGUUGAGAACUCUAAUGAGACUGCCGGUGAUAAACCGGAGGAAGGCGGGGACGACGUCAAGUCAUCAUGGCCCUUAUGGGAUGGGCUACACACGUGCUACAAUGGCCGGUACAGAGGGCUGCAAACCUGCGAAGGUAAGCUAAUCUCACAAAACCGGUCGUAGUCCGGAUUGGAGUCUGCAACUCGACUCCAUGAAGUCGGAAUCGCUAGUAAUCGUGGAUCAGAAUGCCACGGUGAAUACGUUCCCGGGCCU